rnacentral:rRNA from 1 species
GACGAACGCUGGCGGCGUGCUUAACACAUGCAAGUCGAACGGAAAGGCCCUGCUUGCAGGGUGCUCGAGUGGCGAACGGGUGAGUAACACGUGGGUGAUCUGCCCCUUACUUUGGGAUAAGCCUGGGAAACUGGGUCUAAUACUGGAUAGGACCAUGCUGUAGGUGGUGUGGUGGAAAGAUUUUUUCGGUAAGGGAUGAGCUCGCGGCCUAUCAGCUUGUUGGUGGGGUAAUGGCCUACCAAGGCGUCGACGGGUAGCCGGCCUGAGAGGGUGGACGGUCACAUUGGGACUGAGAUACGGCCCAGACUCCUACGGGAGGCAGCAGUGGGGAAUAUUGCACAAUGGGCGCAAGCCUGAUGCAGCGACGCCGCGUGGGGGAUGACGGCCUUCGGGUUGUAAACUCCUUUCAGCCAUGACGAAGCCUCUUUUGGGGUGACGGUAGUGGUAGAAGAAGCACCGGCUAACUACGUG